AAGAUGAAAAUUACAUUAUUGAAAGUUAUUGUAGGAAAAAAGGGCAAAUUAGCGUCAGACCUUCCAUUUUUCAUGAAUGACUUUGCAAUUCUUUGUCAUUUAUUCUUAUUUGGAGCUACAACCCUUGCCAUUUUGAGUGAUAUUCCUUUGCAAGUUUCAAUAUUACAUGCUUGAACCAUCUUUUUUUUUGCGACUUCAAUCAUAAUUUGCACAACUUUCAAGCUUCCUUUGAUAUGCUCCUUUUCAUGGUUUGUCGAACCGCUUAGUUCGAGGCCUACCAAACCAAACUAUUACGUAAUCGAGACGAUUCGAGCUUCUGGAACAGGACAAAAGGCGAACCAUGCCAAACUAUGCUAACCUGACUAGUUCCGCCCU
rnacentral:lncRNA from 1 species